UAGGUAGUUUUAUGUUGUUGG
rnacentral:miRNA from 1 species